rnacentral:rRNA from 1 species
GAUGAACGCUGGCGGCGUGCCUAAUACAUGCAAGUCGAGCGAACGGACGAGAAGCUUGCUUCUCUGAUGUUAGCGGCGGACGGGUGAGUAACACGUGGAUAACCUACCUAUAAGGCUGGGAUAACUUCGGGAAACCGGAGCUAAUACCGGAUAAUAUUUUGAACCGCAUGGUUCAAAAGUGGAAGACGGUCUUGCUGUCACUUAUAGAUGGAUCCGCGCUGCGUUAGCUAGUUGGUAAGGUAACGGCUUACCAAGGCAACGAUGCAUAGCCGACCUGAGAGGGUGAUCGGCCACACUGGAACUGAGACACGGUCCAGACUCCUACGGGAGGCAGCAGUAGGGAAUCUUCCGCAAUGGGCGAAAGCCUGACGGAGCAACGCCGCGUGAGUGAUGAAGGUCUUCGGAUCGUAAAACUCUGUUAUUAGGGAAGAACAUAUGUGUAAGUAACUGUGCACAUCUUGACGGUACCUAAUCAGAAAGCCACGGCUAACUACGUG